AUAACACUUACUGUCUCACUCCUUCUUUUUAACUUGAACGUUGGAAAGAUCAAGGUGUCAAAGUCAGCCAUUGCACUAAACACAGUGCUCGGCUUCAAUGCUCAACAACCGUGUCCACGACUUGUCUGGUUGUUGUACACUUGUCAGGAGGGGGAGGGGGACGAAGACUUGCAAAGACCGGAUGAGGCAGUUGGGCCCGACAGGAAAACCAUACAUAGGUCAAAUAAUAAUGGGGCAACAUUUGGUAAUAUAAUCGCCAUAUCAUAUGAUAUAUUUCAAAUAUUUCCUGAAUGCAAUUUUAUAAUCCUAG